GAUGAAGAACGUAGCGAAAUGCGAUAAGUAAUGCGAAUUGCAGAAUUCAGUGAAUCAUCGAAUCUUUGAACGCACAUUGCGCCCGCCAGUAUUCUGGCGGGCAUGCCUGUCUGAGCGUCGUUUCGACCCUCGCGCCCGGCUUCUGUCGGGGGCGGUGUUGGGGAUCGGCCACACCCUUCAGUGGGAAGCCGGCCCCUAAAUUCAGUGGCGACCACGCUGUAGCCUCCCCUGCGUAGUACUAAAACCACCUCGCAGGCGGAGAGCGGUGCGGCCCGCCGUAAAACCCCCCAACUUUUACAAGGUCGACCUCAGAUCAGGUAGGAAUACCCGCUGAACUUAAGCAUAUCAAUAAGCGGAGGA
rnacentral:misc_RNA from 1 species